UACGAAGGGUGCAAGCGUUACUCGGAAUUACUGGGCGUAAAGCGUGCGUAGGUGGUUUGUUAAGUCUGUUGUGAAAGCCCCGGGCUCAACCUGGGAAUGGCAAUGGAUACUGGCAGGCUAGAGUGCGGUAGAGGGUAGUGGAAUUCCCGGUGUAGCGGUGAAAUGCGUAGAGAUCGGGAGGAACACCAGUGGCGAAGGCGGCCCGCUGGGCAGUGGCUGACGCUGAGGCGCGACAGCGUGGGGGAGCAAACAGG
rnacentral:rRNA from 1 species